AUUGAACGCUGGCGGCAGGCUUAACACAUGCAAGUCGAGCGAGCGGCGGACGGGUGAGUAAGGUCUGGGAAACUGCCUGAUGGAGGGGGAUAACUACUGGAAACGGUAGCUAAUAACGCAUAACAUCAGAUGUGCCCAGAUUGGAUUAGCUAGUAGGGGGGGUACUGUCUCACCUAGGCGACGAUCCCUAGCUGGUCUGAGAGGAUGACCAGCCACACUGGAACUGAGACACGGUCCAGACGCCUACGGGAGGCAGCAGUGGGGAAUUUUGCACAAUGGGCGCAAGCCUGAUACAGCCAUGCCGCGUGUGUGAAGAAGGCCUUCGGGUUGUAAAGCUCUUUCAGCGAGGAGGCGGUACUCGCAGAAGAAGCACCGGCUAACUCCGUGCCAGCAGCCGCGGUAAUUC
rnacentral:rRNA from 1 species